GCCCUGUGAAAAGGAUAAACCAGCCCCUGCGAGGACCCAAGAGCAGAAAAAUAAACCGACAACACCCAGCACUUCUGUGACAUUCCUGAGCUGUACAAAUCACUUGCCCAAGUCCUCGCAUAUUGCCUCCCUCCUCCCAGCUAUGCAGCACCGCCACAGCAAAUCCACAGCGCCUGGACAGCUGGUGAUGGCUGGGAUUUGGCCUGAGCAGCUGCUUUUCCAUCCAAGAGCUGUCAGUCCAAGAUGAAGGAGGACAGACUUCUCAUGGAAUCAAGAUGUUAGAGCAUCCAAAAAAUAUAAUAUCACCACACAUGAAAAUAAAGCUCUUUUUUGUGGUUAUCA